CGGUGUUCAACUGGCGUGCCCGCGGGACGUCCUGCCGGUGAGCUCAGCCCGCGAGGGCGGCUCAACUUGAAAUCCCAUCGCGGUGCUCUUCAUUGAGUGUCGAGGUGGGCCGGCACGAUUACUUUUGAACAAAUUAGAGUGCUUAAAGCAGGCUAAAAUUUUGCCUGAAUACUGUGUAUAUGGAAUAAUGGAAUAGGACCUCGGUUCUAUUUUGUUGGUUUUCGGAACCCCGAGGUAAUGAUUAAUAGGAACGGAUGGGGGCAUUCGUAUUGCGACGUUAGAGGUGAAAUUCUUGGAUCGUCGCAAGACGGACUAAAGCGAAAGCAUUUGCCAAAAACGCUUUCAUUGAUCAAGAACGAAAGUUAGAGGUUCGAAGGCGAUCAGAUACCGCCCUAGUUCUAACCAUAAACUAUGCCAGCUAGCGAUCCGCCGACGUCCCUCUGAUGACUCGGCGGGCAGCUUCCGGGAAACCAAAGCUUUUGGGUUCCGGGGGAAGUAUGGUUGCAAAGCUGAAACUUAAAGGAAUUGACGGAAGGGCACCACCAGGAGUGGAGCCUGCGGCUUAAUUUGACUCAACACGGGAAACCUCACCAGGCCCAGACACUGGAAGGAUUGACAGAUUGAGAGCUCUUUCUUGAUUCAGUGGGUGGUGGUGCAUGGCCGUUCUUAGUCGGUGGAGCGAUUUGUCAGGUUAAUUCCGAUAACGGACGAGACUCUGACCUGAUAACUAGACGCACUUGCGGCAUCUCAAAGGUCCGCCGGCGGCUGGCUUUGCGCCCGUCGUCGCGCGCGACUUUUACUGCCGGCGUACAAUAAAUUCUUCUUAGAGGGACAAGUGG
rnacentral:rRNA from 1 species